rnacentral:lncRNA from 1 species
ACCAUGUAAGGGGAAAAUAGGGAAAUCUGGAAGCAGAGGCUGAAGAAGAGGGAGAGGAGGAAAGGUCAUCACUAUUGACUGUGAGAAAUUCGGGCCUGAUUAUGCACUAGCCAUACCAUACAGUAUAAUGUUUCUUUAACCUUUAAAACACUGCUAAUGGUUUGCAGCGGUGAGAUUUUGUGUAAGGUCAACAGGGUAUAACAUUUUUCUAUAGAUUUAACCUUUUCUUUGAAUUACAGGGAAAGAGGGGAGAUUUUAGUUCAACCAGGCCUCCAGGAAGACAAGGGCCUUACGUAAGUUAUUUUUAGUAACCAUAUAAUUUGAUCUGUUUUGUAAAUGCUGUGCUCUCUUUUCAAUGCCAGGUGGUUAGCUGUACAACUCAAUCACUGUGUCCCCGAAACACAGGACAUAACUACCCUUGUUUCUAUAUAUAUGUCUUUCUCUGUUUCUCUAAGGGGACACUUGGCAUACAAGGAGAGAAGGGUGAAAUGGGUGAACCAGGAGUCGAGGGAGAGAAGGCAGAGAUGGGACGGACAGGCCCUCCUGGAGUUCAGGGGCUGAAGGGGACACAAGGCCCUUUGGGAGAGCCAGGGAGCGAUGGCCUAAAAGGAGAACAGGGAGACAUUGGUUCUCAUGAGGGGUGGGGGACCCCAGGUCUAACGGGACUUCCUGUGACUUUCAGUGAUAUGCUAUUGCUAUUUCCUUUACUUUUCUGAAAAUAAAGUAGGAUUUUUAUUACAGAGAAUAAUUCAAUUCUAAUGUGAUUCCUUUUCUCUAUCUAUAGGGUUUGUUUGGAGAAACUGUAUAUUACUCUAAAUACAAAUACACGCAUGUGUUCCAUUUUUUUACCUUGAUACCUUGAUGUGUUCUGUACAUUUAUUAUGUGGAGAUUGGUGGAUUGACUGAGGGCACUGACUAAAUGGACUAUUCACCUGAAUAUCAGGAUCUAAAAGGAUUUGCCGGAAAAUCAGGUCCUGUUGGAGUGAGAGGCCUGCCUGUGAGUAUGACCUUCCUCACGUCACCCCACAUUACCAGCUGCGUUACCUCUAUUUAAUGAAAUAAAAAGGAUUCCUGACCCAAUCUACAUUUUAGUCAUUUAGUAAACAUGCAUAUCCAGAGCGACUUACAAUUAGUGCAUUCAUCUUGAGAUAGCUACAUGUAGGUGGGACACACACAUAUCUCAGUCAUAGUAAGGUUCAGAGAGGGGCAGGGACUCUGCAGAGACUCUGCUGUCCUAGGCAUCAGGGUAAGCUGGCUCCACCAUUGGGGUGCCAGGACAGAGAAGAACACUGACUGGGCUGACCGGGAGCUGAUCUCUUGUGGCAGAACGAAGUGCUCGGAUGUGUUGGGAUGUAGGGUUUGAGCAUAGCCUGAAGGUAGGAAGCAUCCCGGGGCAGUGAGUUUAACUUUUAUAUUGUGCUUGUUUUUCCUUUUUUAUAUCAGGGUCUCCCUGGACCUCCUGCCCCCCCUGGAACCUCUCUGAACCUUACUCUGAACCUUACUCUGAACCUUACUCUGAACCUUACUCUGAACCUUACUCUGAACCUUACUCUGAACCUUACUCUGAACCUUACUCUGAACCUUACUCUGAACCUUACUUUACUCUGGCACAGAUCAAGGCAAGUUGUUGGUAAUCUGUCAAAGCAAAUCCCCCCCUGACCAGGACCCCAACUACCUCCUGAUCCAGACUCUGCUGGACCCUUUGCACCAGGACCUGUGCUUGUUCAUAGAUCCACCAGAUGGCACUAAAGAACACCCGGCUACCACCUGCUUGGCGCUGUGGCUGUCCCAGCCGAACUUCACUAACGGUAUGGGCUUCUUCCACAGGAAGCAAAGUUCCCUCUCAGCUGCAUGCGUGCGGGGGCUCGCAGUAGCCCGAGACUGCCGCGCAGCUCCCCCAGGACUGCUGCGAGAAGAAAUAUCCCCAGGACUGCUGCGAGAAGAAAUAUCAGCCCACAGAAGAAAUAUCAGCCCACGGAGAGGGGCAGGAGAUUGAACUUCACUCAACUUUCUAGAGUUUUACCCCUUAGUUAACACUAUCAACGUUUCUCUUUACUGUGAGAAUUGUGAUCAAAUCAAUGCAAUAUUAGCCACUUUCAAUGCAACAUACCGAAAAAAACUAACCAUACAAGAGAUGUUGUUGUAGGCACAACACAUUGGAGUAGAAUUCUAUUGCGCAGGAAUAUGCCCGUACUCUACACAGACUCGUGCGGCAUUAACAGUCAGAGCUGCAGUAGGCCUAUAGCAAAUUGACCAUUGCCAUAUAUGGAUAUGUGACAUUUACUUUGAACUGGACUGUGUUUUCAGCUGUGGUCGUGAGUAGAGGAGCUUGUUUUGACAUGUAGCCACAUGUCCACAUUUUGUUCAUAUCCUUUGCUAGUUAGUAAAUUAUUAGUCCCUGUUAUAGAUAAUUUGUAGUCAGUAAUAGGGGAGUGAUUGCUUCCUACAAGAGCACAAAACAUGUAUAUUUAAAAGCAAGUCAGGUAAAGAUAUUUUCUUUUGUCUUAAAGGGGCAGUGUUGUAUUUUGAGACAAGCUUGAAUAAGCGAAAGUAGCCAAUAGGCAGAGGGCGCAUAAUUUGUCUGAUUCCCUGUAAUAAUGGUAUGGGAAUAACAAUGCAUUUUAUUUUGUAAAGUGGUUUCUUGCAUCAAACAACACAACACCAAGUUCAGUCACUUCCGUGUCUGAAGGAUAAGUGGAUAAACAGGUUAAUGUCAGGCCCUGCAUGUUUUUUCGAAAGGCUCAUGGAAUAUAGGCCUACUGUACAUUGAACACCACACAUUGGUUGCUACUGUAGCCUGAAUGAUAGAACAGCUACAGUUGAAGUUGGAAGUUUACAUACACCUUAGCCAAAUACAUUUAAACUCUGUUUUUCACAAUUCCUGACAUUUAAUCCUAGACAUUUAAUCCUUUCCUGUUUUAGGACAGUUAGAAUCACCACUUUAUUUUAAGAAGGGGAAAUGUCAUUAAUAUUAGAGAAUUAUUUAUUUCAGCUUUUAUUUAGUUUACAUACACUCAAUUAGUAUUUGGUAGCAUUGCCUUUAAAUUGUUUAACUUGGGUCAAUCGUUUCGGGUAGCCUUCCACAAGCUUCCCACAAUAGGUUGGGUGAAUUUUGUCCCAUUCCUCCUGACAGAGCUGGUGUAACUGAGUCCGGUUUGUAGACCUCCUUGCUCACACACACUUUUUCAGUUCUGCCCACAAAUGUUCUAUAUAAUUGAGGUCAGGGCUUUGUGAUGGCCACUCCAAUACCUUGACUUUGUUGUCCUUAAAACUUCUUGACGCACCCAUCCCGUUAGCGGGAUCAUUUUCAUCAACAUCCGCUGAAUUGCAGAGCGCCAAUUUCAAAUUAAAUUACUAAAAAUAUUUCAUUUUCAUGAAAUCACAAGUGCAAUAUAGUAAAACACAGCGUAGCUAGUUGUUAAUCCACCUGGCGUGUCAGAUUUCAAAAAAGCUUUACAGCUAAAGCAAACCAAGCGUUUAUGUAAGGACAUUCCUCUCAGCAGACAAAACAUUACAAACAGCUAGCAGCAAAGUAGAUUGGUCACG